rnacentral:rRNA from 1 species
CCUACGGGCGGCAGCAGUGGGGAAUAUUGGACAAUGGGGGGAACCCUGAUCCAGCCAUGCCGCGUGUGUGAAGAAGGCCCUCGGGUUGUAAAGCACUUUCAGUGAGGAAGAACGCCUGGUGGUUAAUACCCAUCAGGAAAGACAUCACUCACAGAAGAAGCACCGGCUAACUCCGUGCCAGCAGCCGCGGUAAUACGGAGGGUGCGAGCGUUAAUCGGAAUUACUGGGCGUAAAGCGCGCGUAGGUGGCUUGAUAAGCCGGUUGUGAAAGCCCCGGGCUCAACCUGGGAACGGCAUCCGGAACUGUCAAGCUAGAGUGCAGGAGAGGAAAGUAGAAUUCCCGGUGUAGCGGUGAAAUGCGUAGAGAUCGGGAGGAAUACCAGUGGCGAAGGCGGCCUUCUGGACUGACACUGACACUGAGGUGCGAAAGCGUGGGUAGCAAACAGGAUUAGAUACCCGAGUAGUC